UACACGAUAACCAUUUCUACGGUAUCAUGAAUCUGAAGGGUUUUCUGGGUGUGUCUUAUGUUUGUGACUGGUGCUAUACCGGUUUCAACACACGUGGUGAUCAUGGUUGUAAACAUAGCUGUAGUGUCUGUCUUCAUGAAGAUUGUCAUACCCAACCCCGUAACACAAAGCAGUGCCCUGACUGUAAAAGGAUAUGUUAUUCAGAUUUUUGUUAUAGCCAGCAUAAACGUUUGAAGCACCACAAAAGUGUGGAUCGUUGGGUUAGCAGGUGUGACCAGAAGAAAUACUGUGUCGAUUGUGGUCGCUAUUACAAUGUCAGUAUUACCAACUAUAAAGCACACCGGUGCAUUGCUAACAUGUGCCCCAAUUGUAAUGUGGAUCUGGCUUUUGAAAUGAAUCAUCAGUGUUUUAUAAAACCCUCCAAGCCCGAGGACCCCAGUGAGCGCUACAUAUUUUAUGAUUUUGAGACUAUUGCCAAUCCGGUGAAUGGUGUACACACUGCAAAUUUUGUGUGUGCAAUAAGCUUUGAUAACAAGAUGUGGUGUUCAGCCGGAGAAGGUUGUGUCACUGCUUUUUUUCAAAAGUUUAGGCAACCGAAAUAUAAUGACUACACAUUUAUAGCACACAACUCUAAAGGUUUCGAUGGUUACAUCUUGAUGCAGUACCUUGCUAACAAUGGUAUUGGCACGACACUUAUUGCUAAUGGUAGCAAGCUCAUGAUUUUUACAGACAGCACAUUCAAUCAGAGAUACAUUGAUAGUCAUUGCUUUCUACCUAUGAAGCUGUCAGCCUUGCCACGUGCUAUGGGUUUUAAGGAUUCGAAAAAAGGCUACUUUCCUUACAAAUUUAACAUCAAGGAGAAUGAGAACUAUGUUGGCCCCCAUCCGGAACCGCAUUACUAUGGCGUGAAUACCAUGAUGGCUAAAGAAAAAGAUGAGUUUUUGCAAUGGUAUGCACUUGUUUCCGCAGACCCCUUUGUCAUGCAGGAUGAAAUAAAGGCUUACUGCGUGAAUGAUGUGGUCAUCUUGAGAGAGGGUUGUAUGCGCUACAGACUAG
rnacentral:lncRNA from 1 species